rnacentral:rRNA from 1 species
UACGUAGGGGGCAAGCGUUGUCCGGAUUUACUGGGCGUAAAGAGCGUGUAGGCGGCCAAACAGGUCCGUUGUGAAAACUGGAGGCUCAACUUCCAGACGUCGACGGAAACCGUGUGGCUAGAGUCCGGAAGAGGAGAGUGGAAUUCCUGGUGUAGCGGUGAAAUGCGCAGAUAUCAGGAGGAACACCGGUGGCGAAGGCGACGUCCUGGACCGGCAUUGACGCUGAGGCGCGAAAGCCAGGGGAGCAAACGGG